rnacentral:rRNA from 1 species
GUGUCAGCAGCCGCGGUAAUACGAAGGGUGCAAGCGUUGUUCGGAAUUACUGGGCGUAAAGCGCGCGUAGGCGGGUUUGUAAGUCGAUUGUGAAAGCCCUGGGCUCAACCUGGGAAUGGCAGUCGAAACUGCAAAUCUUGAAUGUCUGAGAGGAUGGCGGAAUUCCCGGUGUAGUAGUGAAAUACGUAGAUAUCGGGAAGAACACCUGAGGCGAAGGCGGCUAUCUGGCGGUACAUUGACGCUGAGGCGCGAAAGCGUGGGGAGCAAACAGGAUUAGAUACCCUGGUAGUCCACGCCGUAAACUAUGGAUACUAGGUGUCCGGGAUGUUAACCUCCUGGGUACCGAAGCUCACGCAUUAAGUAUCCCGCCUGGGGAGUACGGUCGCAAGACUAAA